ensembl:lncRNA
GUAAAAGUACAGCUUUAAAAAUAUACUCAAAAAGUACAAGUACAAGUACAAGUACAAGUAGAAACUACUUAAUUACAAUAACGUAAGUUGUAAUUCGUUACCUCCACCACUGCAUAAGUCAUAUUGAAAGUGAAAGUGAAAGCCUCUAUUUAAACGUGUGAGCAGCAGAGAGAGUCAGAGUGGAAUAAACUCAGAUGGUGAGGACACACAGACCGCAGAAUUACAACCAUGAAUGCUGUAAAUGCUGUUCAACUGUUCAUUCUGCUUUGGACCUUUACUGCUGUCUGUCAAGCUAAAAAUUUCAAUGUAAGCUGUGAUGAUGUGACUGGAUUCGUUGGGAAAAAAGUAAAUCUCACCUGCAGAGUCUCUCAGCAGUGUGAUAAAUACUGCUUGAAAAUGUAUAAGUUUAAAUACCCUAAUGACACAGCAAUCUGUAAACAAGAGCCUCCUGUGGACUCCUGUGAUGAGAGUAAGAGCUUCACAUGCAGCUACACUCCAACUACUCCAAUGACAGAAAAAUUCAGAUUCUUUGCCCAAGCAAACUGCGAUAUGGACACAAAAGAAUUCACUGUGAACAUAGCAGUUUUAUUAAAAGAAGAUGAUCCUAAAUAUAAGGAUACUGCCAUCACUGCAGCUGUGGGCUGUUUCAGCAUCAUUCUCAUCAUCAUCAUCAUCAUGACAGUCAUUUGGAAAAUCACCAAAUCUUGUGGAUUCCAGAAGAGGAAAUUUCUUUGCAUCAAAUAUGAUGAGAACAACACCACUCCUCGAGAAGAUGUGAUAUAACAGCAUUGAAUCAGCAGUACGAGUUCUCAUGUGGUGCUCAUGAAACACACAAACUCUAUUUAAACACCACUAUAAACUACAUACUCUACUAUCUGUUGUAUCUCAAACUACUUAAUAUAUAACUCUGGAUGUUGGUUUAAAACUCUGUUUCUGUUUUAUACAAGUUUCUGUGAAAUAACAGCAUAUUAUUGAUCUGUUUGAUCAGUUUGUAUAUUUGUAUAUGUGACUUUAAUGAACCCGUGCCUUUGUGAACUUUAAGAGGAAACUCAAACUGUUUUGCUGUUUUUUUCAGAAUUUCAAGGAAUGUCUAUAAUGAAUGUCAAUGUAUUAAUGUUAAUAUAACUCAAGUUGGGAAAUGAUUUCUUAAUAUUUUGCCAUACGAUUUUCUAAUAGUGUAAAUGGUGUGGUUUUGUACAGUGCCUUUUAAAUGAAUAAAGACUUGUGAUGCUCUCUGAAGAUGAAUAUCUGUUUAUGGGUAAGUUAUACUUGUUAAACUAGUUAAGUGGGCAAGGAGUAAAAAGAGCUGAUCUUGUAUGUAUACAUUAUUUGUGUAAGACAAAUUUCAUAAUCUUAUUAUGCAGGAAAUCUUUAGAUACUUGAGGUUUUUACAUUUGCAUUCAAGGUUAAUAUUUGAUCAGUUUAUGCAUCCAGUAGUAUAACCGGCUGCUAACGUCACUGCUUACUGUUUGAGCGACUGACUGAGAAAUGAUAGCUGUUCUGGGAAAGAGAACAAAAUGAUCCUACAGCUGAUAAAAGCAAACACCUGUCACGUGACGAGCAUUCGGAGACAUGAAAAUCACUCAUUCCAUCAAUAGCCAGUCAGCUGAGACCAAAAAAAAGAAAAAACCUUGAGUGUGUUGUCAACAGGUGUAAACAUGGCAGAUGAACCACUGACUGAUUUCACAACACAAAUAAAUACUUAAUGUCA